AUUGGUACCUGGUCGUGGACGAUCCCGGGGGUCAUCUGCCUAUUCUCUGGAUGUGGGCUGGAUAUUUGGGAACCAAGAACGCGGAUGUGAGGUACGUCUCUAGACGCUUCUCUGUUCCGUGAACGUCGAAUCAGCCAUUCCAAAUGAGAGCCUGGUUUUCGUUCCCUCUGACGACAGCACCGGUCUACAGAGUGCAGCGCGUACGCUGGGUGCUCGUUGCGAUCGGGCGUUAGCGUCGUCGACAAUGCUGUUCGGAGGGCGGACGGUUUCGUGGAGGCUUUUUGAGCGUCGGUUUAGUGGUAGGGUUCUCCUGGAGCAGCGAUGCAGUUUGGCUUCAAGGCGAGUGCCCGACUGGAGCCCCGGUCGGUGUACCAGUGGCACCUCCAGCGAACCCAGGUUCAAACGGGGCACGGAGGAGCUCGCUCUAUUCUUGCAUUUGGAGACUUUUGGAGGUUGUUUGCAAUGAACAGCAUCCGCAUUGUAAGAACAUCAACGGGUUAUAACGGUUUCAUGUUAGGGUUUAGGGUUUCGGGUGAUGCUUUCGGAAUGGAUCCCGCGACAGUUCAUCCAUGGCAUUCGUUACGUUAUCGUCAUCGAGAUGAUCCGCGACGGCAUCGAGCAAGGUGUUUUACAACAAAAAACGCCGAUAUUUUUUUAUUGAUUCAUACAUACAGGCGUCCACGCUUCUCCUGCUGCUUACAUUGAGCGAGCUCGAAUUACGCAUUCUUCAAGUUUUCAAUAAUGCGCGGCAGGGCGGCGCACGGAGAAGGAGAAGCAUGGUGGACACAUGGGAACGUCUCACCACGGACAAGUGUCAUCUCUGCGAAGGGUGCACUGAGGCCAGAUAACAAUCAGAGGAAAAUAGGAAACGAAGCGUAGAUCCCAAGUUCUCUCUGUGCACGUAAUGCAUCUACAACAUCAAGAGACACCGAAAGCGAGUCUUUGGCGCUGCCAUCGACAUCCUGCGACUGCGGACAGCGGGUCCGAAAGCCAAGGACAGACCGCGGCAUUGAACGCUGGAGAUACGAGGGAGGAAAGGGAAGCAGUCGCCGACAAAGCCCCCAAGAGCCUGUUCUCCAUGACAGCAGAAAGAGACUCAAAUUUCGCGUGAGCGCCCGAUUUCGAGGACAUGUUCCACGCCGCAUGUCAUUCUGGCACUGGCAUACCUGACUCUAUGACUGAAACAUCUCAACUUUUAUCUUUGAAACCUUGCACCUCACGAUGGUGCCAAUGAAAUACACGUGUCCUCCCGGGGUUCGUCAUGUAUUCGCGAUGCUCUCCAAACUGAAAAGCAUGCCGCGGUGCUCAUCAUGUUCCAAUGACGCCCAUCGUGCCGGCGUUUGCUGUUACAUCUGUCCCUGUCAAUCCGAUUUCAGACACGUACUGACUCUGGCGUCAUUUUUUCAAUAUGCGGCUUCGGUGCCUUAAGCGCCUUCUCGUACUUUGGCGGCGUCGGCGGUACCCAGCUCGUCUUCUUCUCCGCAUGCGAGAUGUAAAAGAUGCGCCCGGUAGCCGGAUCGAUGCGUUCCUCCCAGCCAGGCGGCAGCGGCACCUCCGAUACGUUUUUCUCAAACUUGGUCGCUGCUUCGUAGGACGUCAGCGGAAUCUCGGGGUCAUCAUGCUUGACCUCUUUGUCCUCUUCCGCAAUCGCCGGCGCCAUGCUCUGCACAUCGAUCGUCUUCGCCAGCUCAAUAUUGUUCGAGACAUGUUGCUCGACCAUUUCCGAAACUUCCUGAAACGCUUCCGAUGCCCUCAUCUGGUAUGACCACAGUGCGGCCAACACGGCGCGACACAGCGGUGGAUACUUGUAGUACAUCGCACGCGCGCUGUCGACGUAGUUGCGCUUGCGAGCAACGUAACGAUCGCGGGCGCGUUCGAGUUUCACGCGAUUCCGAAUCAUGCGCUCUGAUUCCGCCUCUGUCAAACGACGCUGACGAGCGCGCUGACUCAGCGCUUCGCACUUGUUGUAGUAGUGGUCAAACUCCAGACGGGCGUUCUCUACGUCUUGUCCAAUGUAGGUGAUGAGUGUGCGGCAUCCCUCGAUGUACUGGCGUACCUCGCUGAGCAUAUGCGACAGCGUCGUGCCGCCCGUGAAGAGCUCGCGCCCACACAGGCUCUCGAGUGCGCUCAGCGCUUCCUCUGACAGCUGCACAAACUCAAGGUACCCGGGGUCUACGUCAUGGAACGAGUCUUCCACGACCUGCUUUCUACGACCGGUCCCUUUCGCCACUUUCACUUUCGCGUUCCUCGUCGUCGUUCGCACAGACUUUAUGACCGACUUCCAGGCCGGUGUCACUUGCGUGAGACCCUCCUCCAGCCGCUCGGCGUGCCGCAUGGUGCGCCGCAGCUUCGCCUCCCACUCGGCCUGUACCUCAGAAAACUCGCCCUUCUCAAGACCCGCGCGUUGCGAGCUUGACAGGAAAAACAACUUUGCGCUGUGUAAGAACCCAGUCAUCUUCAAGACCUCAGCUAAAACACAACGACGGCAA
rnacentral:misc_RNA from 1 species